rnacentral:rRNA from 1 species
GACGAACGCUGGCGGCGUGCUUAACACAUGCAAGUCGAACGGAAAGGCCCAGCUUGCUGGGUGCUCGAGUGGCGAACGGGUGAGUAACACGUGGGUGACCCGCCCCUAACUUCGGGAUAAGCUUGGGAAACUGGGUCUAAUACCGGAUAGGACAAUCGUUUAGUGCCGGUUGUGGAAAGUUUUUUCGGUUAGGGAUGAGCCCGCGGCCUAUCAGCUUGUUGGUGGGGUAAUGGCCUACCAAGGCGUCGACGGGUAGCCGGCCUGAGAGGGUGGACGGCCACAUUGGGACUGAGAUACGGCCCAGACUCCUACGGGAGGCAGCAGUGGGGAAUAUUGCACAAUGGGCGCAAGCCUGAUGCAGUGACGCCGCGUGGGGGAUGACGGCCUUCGGGUUGUAAACCUCUUUCGACAGGGACGAAGCUUUGGUGACGGUACCUGUAUAAGAAGCACCGGCUAACUACGUGCAGCAGCCGCGGUAACAC